UACGAAGGGGGCUAGCGUUGUUCGGAUUUACUGGGCGUAAAGCGCACGUAGGCGGAUCGAUCAGUCAGGGGUGAAAUCCCAGAGCUCAACUCUGGAACUGCCUUUGAUACUGUCGAUCUGGAGUAUGGAAGAGGUGAGUGGAAUUCCGAGUGUAGAGGUGAAAUUCGUAGAUAUUCGGAGGAACACCAGUGGCGAAGGCGGCUCACUGGCUCGGUACUGACGCUGAGGUGCGAAAGCGUGGGGAGCAAACAGG
rnacentral:rRNA from 1 species